rnacentral:rRNA from 1 species
UACGGAGGAUCCGAGCGUUAUCCGGAUUUAUUGGGUUUAAAGGGUGCGUAGGCGGCCUAUUAAGUCAGGGGUGAAAGACGGUAGCUUAACUAUCGCAGUGCCUUUGAUACUGAUGGGCUUGAAUGUACUUGAGGUAGGCGGAAUGUGACAAGUAGCGGUGAAAUGCAUAGAUAUGUCACAGAACACCAAUUGCGAAGGCAGCUUACUAUGGUUUUAUUGACACUGAGGCGCGAAAGCGUGGGGAUCAAACAGG